ACGGGUGAGUAAUGCCUGGGAAAUUGCCCUGAUGUGGGGGAUAACCAUUGGAAACGAUGGCUAAUACCGCAUAAUAGCUUCGGCUCAAAGAGGGGGACCUUCGGGCCUCUCGCGUCAGGAUAUGCCCAGGUGGGAUUAGCUAGUUGGUGAGGUAAUGGCUCACCAAGGCGACGAUCCCUAGCUGGUCUGAGAGGAUGAUCAGCCACACUGGAACUGAGACACGGUCCAGACUCCUACGGGAGGCAGCAGUGGGGAAUAUUGCACAAUGGGCGCAAGCCUGAUGCAGCCAUGCCGCGUGUAUGAAGAAGGCCUUCGGGUUGUAAAGUACUUUCAGCAGUGAGGAAGGCGGAGUCGUUAAUAGCGGCCUCGUUUGACGUUAGCUGCAGAAGAAGCACCGGCUAACUCCGUGCCAGCAGCCGCGGUAAUACGGAGGGUGCGAGCGUUAAUCGGAAUUACUGGGCGUAAAGCGCAUGCAGGUGGUUUGUUAAGUCAGAUGUGAA
rnacentral:rRNA from 1 species